UACGAAGGGGGCUAGCGUUGCUCGGAAUCACUGGGCGUAAAGGGUGCGUAGGCGGGUCUUUAAGUCAGAGGUGAAAUCCUGGAGCUCAACUCCAGAACUGCCUUUGAUACUGAGGAUCUUGAGUACGGUAGAGGUGAGUGGAACUGCGAGUGUAGAGGUGAAAUUCGUAGAUAUUCGCAAGAACACCAGUGGCGAAGGCGGCUCACUGGCCCGUUACUGACGCUGAGGCACGAAAGCGUGGGGAGCAAACAGG
rnacentral:rRNA from 1 species